rnacentral:rRNA from 1 species
UACGUAGGGAGCAAGCGUUGUUCGGAUUUACUGGGCGUAAAGGGCGCGUAGGCGGCGCGGUAAGUCACUUGUGAAAUCUCUGAGCUUAUCUCAGAACGGCCAAGUGAUACUGCAGUGCUAGAGUGCAGAAGGGGCAAUCGGAAUUCUUGGUGUAGCGGUGAAAUGCGUAGAUAUCAAGAGGAACACCUGAGGUGAAGACGGGUUGCUGGGCUGACACUGACGCUGAGGCGCGAAAGCCAGGGGAGCAAACGGG